GAAUCCAAGUAUAAAUGAAUGCUGUUAAGAUCAAGAAACUGGAGUUUAUGGAAAGAAUCAAUCAACUGUAAGGUAUAUGCCAUAACAGACGUUAUUUGGGGUUGGUCAACUGGUUACGGUCUGAAAGAAGAGUGAUUGAUAACUGGUUGAGGUAUCGAGGGUAUAUUCUUGAAAUGAAAUUAGGUUCUUAUGGUAAUCAUUUGGAAGUUUUAAAGAUUGAAGGUUUACAAUUGAAAUAAGUUUCGUAGCAGGUAUCAAAGAAUCGGUCAAAGGUUCAAGAUUCAAUAAGGUAAGUAAUCCAUAAUAUAGUUCAAGAAAUAUGGUUGAAGGUUCAAGAAUCAAUAGGAUAAAUAAUCCAUGCUAUAAUUCAAUAGGUCACAGGACUUCAUCAGAAAGUUCACUAAAUAAUCACAACAGAUACAACAUAUAAUUGAAG
rnacentral:lncRNA from 1 species